CAUGUAGGCGGAUUGAUAAGUUUGAAGUGAAAUCCUAUAGCUUAACUAUAGAACUGCUUUGAAAACCGUUAAUCUAGAAUGUGGGAGAGGUAGAUGGAAUUUCUGGUGUAGGGGUAAAAUCCGUAGAGAUCAGAAGGAAUACCGAUUGCGAAGGCGAUCUACUGGAACAUUAUUGACGCUGAGAUGCGAAAGCGUGGGGAGCAAACA
rnacentral:rRNA from 1 species